UUUUUUCUUUUCUUUCUUAAGAUUAGAAGGCAGCCAUGAUUCUAUACUGAAACGCCUCUGAGGCUUCUGGAAGAAAAUGCUCCAUGGAAGAAAAUGAUUGCUGCAUCUUUAGGAUAGGUUGAACUCUCAUGCAAUUAGUUGCCCAUCAAGAGCAAUAUUGUGGCAAGGACACAGAGAUCGGAGGAACUGUUUGUUGUGAUCAGAGUAGCUAGAAGAAGCAAGAGACCAAGGGAACAAACGAGAUAUGAUUCUCACGAUAACGAGAUAUGAUGCUCACGAUAGUACAUCUUCUGCCUUAUAAUAUCAACAAGUCGGAGCUUUUACUCAUUGAGAUAUAUUCAACCACAGCAAGAACUUCGGACCAGAGGAAGAAGAAACUGACUUUAAAAAAAAUCAUUGUUAUAAUUGAUAAUGAUAAGUAGGUUAGAUAUGGGUGUGGUGUUCCUUUUUGGUUUUUCUUUUUCGUUUUCCAGAGUGAUGGUUCCACCAGCCCAUGGUCUCGGAAGAUACCCGACUAUGGAGUGCAGCCGUUGGUUCUCUAGCAUCGACAGAUGUGGUGAUAUUUUUUCUUUCCUUCCGUAAGAUUAGAAGGCAGCCAAGAUUCUAUACUGAAACGCCUCUGAGGCUUCUGGAAGAAAAUGCUCCAUGGAAGAAAAUGAUUGCUGCAUCUUUAGGAUAGGUUGAACUCUCAUGCAAUUAGUUGCCCAUCAAGAGCAAUAUUGUGGCAAGGACACAGAGAUUGGAGGAACUGUUCAUUGAGAUCAGAGUAGCUAGAAGAAGCAAGAGACCAAGGGAACAAACGAGAUGAUGCUCACGAUAGUAAAUCUUCUGCCUCGUAUCAAGUCGGAGCUUUUACUCAUUGAGAGAUAUAUUCAACCACAGCAAGUACUUUGGACCAGAGGAAGAAGAAACUGACCUUUAAAAAAAUCAUUUUUAUAAUUGAUAAUGAUAAGUAGGUUAGAUAUGGGUGUGGUGUUCCUUUUUGGUUUUUCUUUUUCGUUUUCCAGAGUGAUGGUUCCACCAGCCCAUGGUCUCGGAAGAUACCCGACUAUGGAGUGCAGCCGUUGGUUCUCUAGCAUCGACAGAUGUGGUGAUAUUUUUUCUUUCCUUCCGUAAGAUAAGAUUAGAAGGCAGCCAAGAUUCUAUACUGAAACGCCUCUGAGGCUUCUGGAAGAAAAUGCUCCAUGGAAGAAAAUGAUUGCUGCAUCUUUAGGAUAGGUUGAACUCCCAUGCAAUUAGUUGCCCAUCAAGAGCAAUAUUGUGGCAAGGACAGAGAUCGGAGGAACUGUUUGUUGUGAUCAGAGUAGCUAGAAGAAACAAGAGACCAAGGGAACAAACGAGAUAUGAUGCUCACGAUAACGAGAUAUGAUGCUCACGAUAGUACAUCUUCUGCCUUAUAAUAUCAACAUGUCGGAGCUUUUACUCAUUGAGAGAUAUAUUCAACCACAGCAAGUACUUUGGACCAGAGGAAGAAGAAACUGACUUUAAAAAAAAUCAUUUUUAUAAUUGAUAAUGAUAAGUAGGUUAGAUAUGGGUGUGGUGUUCCUUUUUGGUUUUUCUUUUUCGUUUUCCAGAGUGAUGGUUCCACCAGCCCAUGGUCUCGGAAGAUACCCGACUAUGGAGUGCAGCCGUUGCUUCUCUAGCAUCGACAGAUGUGGUGAUAUUUUUUCUUUCCUUCCGUAAGAUAAGAUUAGAAGGCAGCCAAGAUUCUAUACUGAAACGCCUCUGAGGCUUCUGGAAGAAAAUGCUCCAUGGAAGAAAAUGAUUGCUGCAUCUUUAGGAUAGGUUGAACUCCCAUGCAAUUAGUUGCCCAUCAAGAGCAAUAUUGUGGCAAGGACAGAGAUCGGAGGAACUGUUUGUUGUGAUCAGAGUAGCUAGAAGAAACAAGAGACCAAGGGAACAAACGAGAUAUGAUGCUCACGAUAACGAGAUAUGAUGCUCACGAUAGUACAUCUUCUGCCUUAUAAUAUCAACAUGUCGGAGCUUUUACUCAUUGAGAGAUAUAUUCAACCACAGCAAGUACUUUGGACCAGAGGAAGAAGAAACUGACUUUAAAAAAAAUCAUUUUUAUAAUUGAUAAUGAUAAGUAGGUUAGAUAUGGGUGUGGUGUUCCUUUUUGGUUUUUCUUUUUCGUUUUCCAGAGUGAUGGUUCCACCAGCCCAUGGUCUCGGAAGAUACCCGACUAUGGAGUGCAGCCGUUGCUUCUCUAGCAUCGACAGAUGUGGUGAUAUUUUUUCUUUCCUUCCGUAAGAUAAGAUUAGAAGGCAGCCAAGAUUCUAUACUGAAACGCCUCUGAGGCUUCUGGAAGAAAAUGCUCCAUGGAAGAAAAUGAUUGCUGCAUCUUUAGGAUAGGUUGAACUCUCAUGCAAUUAGUUGCCCAUCAAGAGCAGUAUUGUGGCAAGGACACAGAAAUGGGAGGAAGUGUUUAUUGAGGCAGGGCAGACCGCUCUGCAUAAUUUCCACCGGAAUUAAUCACUUAGUGAUGAACAAUGGUGAACAACAAUGAAUGUCGACCAACAUAAAACAAGGCGAGAUAGCUGGUGUGUAGAUGAAAUGGGCAUCAUUUUCUCGAGCCUGAAAAGCAAAGGGCACUGACGGAACAAACUGGACACUGGGAAUGAACGGACUGAACUGACCAUUGAGGAUAAUUUUAUGGCUGCCACUUCGCAGUUCAUAGAUUAAUGAGCAUCCUUAAAGGCCAGGCAUUUUAAAAUGCUUUGUUUCGCUGUUUCUGACCUUUUUUCUAUUUCAGAAGCAAAUACAACUGGAGCCAUAUCAAGCACAUCUAGCAUCUUCCCUGCUUCGCUUAACUGGCCUUUGGAAGCUUUGGACACGGGCGGCUAGCUCGGACUUCCCAGUGGGGCAAAUCGAAGGGUAUCUGUGGGAGUGCAGCCAAAGGAGACAGUGAGACUGCAGGUCUUUCCGAAGAGCCAGGAGCGCGGGGACUGCCAGACUCCAUCAACGGUACAACAUCGAAGUGUCAACCUCAAGUGAACAUGUACUCGUGGAUAUUGUCUUUGUGCUUCAAGCACCUUCAGUCAACAGCUACAUGUCAUCCCACAGGACGUAACGCUGCAACUGCUUAGCACACUAUGGACAACAUAGCGCAUGUACAUAUUGUUGUGACAUAUUGUUGUAUUGUUAUAUUGUUGUGUGGUUUAGGUUUAUUGUGUGUGUGACAAGUACGCAAUUGUUUUGUAUCAUGAACAAACUUGACCAGCCGAGCUGGGAGGUAUGGGGCAUUGCUCUGUACCGGCUGCACCUUCUGCAGGUUUUCCUGGGUUUUCCUCGCAGACGGAGACGAAUGUGGGUGCAGUUCCCAUGAAGUCGGCCCAGGCCGCAAUCUCAUCCCCCCCCCAAAAUGGCGGCACCGCAUGCCUUGGACGUAAUCCUGCUCUAAACGUCCAUGACGCAUCUUUUGCGUUCCCUUUAAGCUUCACUGCGACAUGGCUCGCACCGUGCAAAUGACAGUCGACCAUUUUGCAUGUUGCGUGGAUGUUUUGAAUGUGUGUGCAUGUCAUGGGCGCAUGUUGUACAUACCAAACCAGGACCCCCACCAAAUUAAAGUCGAGGAAACAAAUGAAUCAUUACUUUUAGCCAGUACAAAUUUAUUCAAUCAUCAAUCAGUCUCAAAGAUUCUGGUAUGGUAUUGCAACAGGAACGUGUCUGUGUGUGUGUAGCAUGUGCGUGUAUGUGCAUGAGCGUACGUACGCAAAUGUUGAUGUGUCUGUUUUUAACUCUACUAAACUGCCGUGGUUGAAUGUCAUUUGCCGGGCGGACUUUGCUGCAGUGAAGCCAUUAUUCGGUUCGGUUAUUUCAAAUGGUCAGGUUGGAUCCGCCUGGUUAUUUGAAAAGCAAUUUUUAAAUUAUACCGUCGACGCUGUGUGUGCCUUCACAUGCACUAUAUUAUGGUUAAAUAAUGUGCAAGGAUUUCUUUCUGAUAUUGAAUAGUUCAUUGGGAGUGUUUCAGUGAUGUGUAUUUUGUACAUGCUGAUGCUAUCUGAUUAUUGCGUGAGAUUUCUGUGUAUUAAGUAGUUCAUUUUGUAUGUGCUGAUGCUAUCUAAUUAAUGUAUAAUGAUUGACUUGUUGUGUAUUAAAUGUGUGUGAUUUUAAUCUUUCUGUACAUUAAAUUUCAGGUGCUUUGUCUCUCUUCA